rnacentral:rRNA from 1 species
AACUUCCUACGGGGCGCAGCAGUGAGGAAUAUUGGUCAAUGGGAGAGAUCCUGAACCAGCCAAGCCGCGUGAGGGAAGACGGCCCUAUGGGUUGUAAACCUCUUUUGUCGGAGAACAAAACCCGGGACGAGUCCCGGACUGCGUGUAUCCGAAGAAAAAGCAUCGGCUAACUCCGUGCCAGCAGCCGCGGUAAUACGGAGGAUGCGAGCGUUAUACGGAUUUAUUGGGGUAAAGGGUGCGUAGGCGGUCCGUUAAGUCAGCGGUAAAAUUGCGGGGCUAAAC